rnacentral:tRNA from 1 species
GCGAUGGUGGUGUAAUGGUUAGCAUGGUUGCCUUCCAUUCAGUCAAUCUGGGUUCGAUUCCCGGCCAUCGCA